rnacentral:rRNA from 1 species
GGUGAACGCUGGCGGCGUGCUUAACACAUGCAAGUCGAACGAAGCACUUUGGACGGAUUCUUCGGAUGAAGUCCCUGGUGACUGAGUGGCGGACGGGUGAGUAAACGCGUGGGUAACCUGCCUCAUACAGGGGGAUAACAGUUAGAAAAUGGCUGCUAAUACCGCAUAAGCGCACAGUACUGCAUGGUACAGUGUGAAAAAACUCCGGUGGUAUGAGAUGGACCCGCGUUGA